rnacentral:rRNA from 1 species
GAUGAACGCUGGCGGCGUGCCUAAUACAUGCAAGUCGAGCAAACGGACGAGAAGCUUGCUUCUCUGAUGUUAGCGGCGGACGGGUGAGUAACACGUGGAUAACCUACCUAUAAGACUGGGAUAACUUCGGGAAACCGGAGCUAAUACCGGAUAAUAUUUUGAACCGCAUGGUUCAAAAGUAAAAGACGGUCUUGCUGUCACUUAUAGAUGGAUCCGCGCUGCAUUAGCUAGUUGGUAAGGUAACGGCUUACCAAGGCAACGAUGCAUAGCCGACCUGAGAGGGUGAUCAGCCACACUGGAACUGAGACACGGUCCAGACUCCUACGGGAGGCAGCAGUAGGGAAUAUUCCGCAAUGGGCGAAAGCCUGACGGAGCCACGCCGCGUGAGUGAUGAAGGUCUUCGGAUCGUAAAGCUCUGUUAUUGGGGAAGAACAGCUGUGUAAGUAACUGUGCACGUCUUGACGGUACCUAAUCAGAAAGCCACGGCUAACUACGUG